UUUUCAUUGGCGUAGUCGCGCAGGUCUCACUGGAACUACCACUGGAUGACUGAGCAGAGGUUACCAGGACUGGAAAGGGAGGAAUAUAAGCUCUAUCGGUCCAUUGUAACCGACUCCUAGACACUCCUGGAAACACCUCUGUUUCUUUAUCAGAAGUUGGUCUGUUCCCAGCUGAGGUUCUUAGAGAUAGACAAAGGUAAGACCAAUUGUGAAUUGUAUAUGUAUUUUUACGUAUGUAUUUUCUGUAUGUAUUUUUAAGAAAGAAUUGGGCUUUUUUUCUCUCUCUCUCUUUCUGUCUAUCUUCUUUUUUUCUCACUUUCUCUCUCCCUCUACAAAGGGCUUGUUAUCCUUUUUGAGACAUGCGAGGAGUUAUCGGGUUGAGAAAUAAGCGGCGUUGUUUUUUUAAAGAAAGUCUGCCAAGUUGAGAAACUGUGGUCUCGAUUAGCGGGUCUGCCUCGUUGUGAUACUUGGGACUUUUUUUAAGGGAUAAGGAGUCUGCCAAGUUGAGAAACUGGGGGUCUCGAUUAGCGGGCCUGCCUGGUUGAAAUACUUGGGGCAUUG